rnacentral:rRNA from 1 species
CCUACGGGAGGCAGCAGUGGGGGAUAUUGCACAAUGGAGGGAACCCUGAUGCAGCGACGCCGCGUGGGUGAAGGAGCGUUUCGGCGCGUAAAGCCCUAUCGGCAGGGAAGAAGGAGGACGGUACCUGACUAAGAAGCCCCGGCUAACUACGUGCCAGCAGCCGCGGUAAUACGUAGGGGGCAAGCGUUUUCCGGAUUUACUGGGUGGAAAGGGGGCGCAGACGGCGGGCCAAGCCAGGGGUGAAACCCCCGGGCCCAACCCCGGGACUGCACUUGGAACUGCGCGGCUGGAGUGCGGGAGGGGCAGGCGGAAUUCCUGGUGUAGCGGUGAAAUGCGUAGAUAUCAGGAGGAACACCAGUGGCGAAGGCGGCCUGCUGGACUGCGACUGACGUUGAGGCCCGAAAGCGUGGGGAGCAAACAGGAUUAGAUACCCCUGUAGUC